UACAUGGGGUGCAAACGUUGCUCGGAAUCAUUGGGCGUAAAGCGCGCGUAGGCGGUUACUUAAGUUGGAUGUGAAAGCCCUCGGCUUAACCGAGGAGGUGCAUCCAAAACUGAGUAGCUAGAGUACGAAAGAGGGUCGCGGAAUUCCCGGUGUAGAGGUGAAAUUCGUAGAUAUCGGGAGGAACCCCGGUGGCGAAGGCGGCGACCUGGGUCGAGACUGACGCUGAGGCGCGAAAGCGUGGGGAGCAAACAGG
rnacentral:rRNA from 1 species